rnacentral:rRNA from 1 species
CCUACGGGAGGCAGCAGUGGGGAAUUUUCCGCAAUGGGCGAAAGCCUGACGGAGCAAUACCGCGUGAGGGAAGACUGCCUAUGGGUUGUAAACCUCUUUUUUCAGGGAGGAAUAAAAUGACGUGUACCUGAAGAAUAAGCAUCGGCUAACUCCGUGCCAGCAGCCGCGGUAAGACGGAGGAUGCAAGUGUUAUCCGGAAUCACUGGGCGUAAAGCGUCUGUAGGUGGUUUAAUAAGUCAACUGUUAAAUCUUGAGGCUCAACUUCAAAACCGCAGUCGAAACUAUUAGACUAGAGUAUAGUAGAGGUAAAGGGAAUUUCCAGUGGAGCGGUGAAAUGCGUAGAUAUUAGAAAGAACACCGAUGGCGAAAGCACUUUACUGGGCUAUUACUAACACUCAGAGACGAAAGCUAGGGUAGCAAAUGGGAUUAGAUACCCCAGUAGUCCUAGCCGUAAACUAUGGAUACUAGAUGUUGAACAGAUCGACCUGUGCAGUAUCAAAGCUAACGCGUUAAAGUAUCCCGCUGGGGAAUAUGCUCGCAAGNGAGAACUACAAUAGAUAGACGCGNGAGACGNGCGACGACGACGACGAGGAGAGG